rnacentral:rRNA from 1 species
AGAGUUUGAUCCUGGCUCAGGAUGAACGCUGGCGGCGUGCUUAAUACAUGCAAGUCGAACGGAUGUUGUAGCAAUACGAUGUUAGUGGCGAACGGGUGAGUAACGCGUUGGUGACCUGCCCCGAAGUGAGGGAUAACAGCUCGAAAGGGCUGCUAAUACCGCAUGAGAUCCACCUAGUUAGAGAGGGUGGAUGAAAGGAGAAAUCCGCUUUGGGAGGGGCCUGCGUCCCAUCAGCUAGUUGGUGAGGUAAAAGCUCACCAAGGCGACGACGGGUAGGGGGCCUGAGAGGGUGACCCCCACACUGGUACUGAAACACGGGCCAGACACCUACGGGUGGCAGCAGUAGGGAAUAUUGCACAAUGGGCGAAAGCCUGAUGCAGCAACGCCGCGUGCGCGAUGAAGGCCUUCGGGUUGUAAAGCGCUUUUCGGGGAGACGAGGAAGGACGGUAUCUCCGGAAUAAGGAUCGGCUAACUACGUGCCAGCAGCCGCGGUAAAACGUAGGAUCCGAGCGUUAUCCGAAUUCACUGGGCGUAAAGCGCGUGCAGGCGGCACGGUAAGUUGGAUGUAAAAUCUCCCGGCUCAACUGGGAGAGGACGUUCAAUACUGUCGAGCUCGAGGGCGAUAGAGGGAGGUGGAAUUCCCGGUGUAGUGGUGAAAUGCGUAGAUAUCGGGAGGAACACCAGUGGCGAAAGCGGCCUCCUGGAUCGUACCUGACGCUCAGACGCGAAAGCUAGGGGAGCAAACGGGAUUAGAAACCCCGGUAGUCCUAGCUGUAAACGAUGUAGACUUGGUGUUGGUGGUGUAAAAACCAUCGGUGCCGAAGCAAACGCGAUAAGUCUACCGCCUGGGGACUACGGCCGCAAGGUUAAAACUCAAAGGAAUUGACGGGGGCCCGCACAAGCAGCGGAGCGUGUGGUUUAAUUCGAUUUACGCGAAAAACCUUACCCGGGUUUGACAUGUAGGUGGUAGGGAAACGAAAGUGGACCGACCCUUCGGGGAGCCUACACAGGUGUUGCAUGGCUGUCGUCAGCUCGUGUUGUGAGAUGUCCGGUUAAGUCCGGUAACGAGCGCAACCCGCGCCGUAUGUUACAAGUGUCAUACGGGACUGCUGGUAUAAAGCCGGAGGAAGGUGCGGACGACGUCAAGUCAGCAUGGCCUUUAUAUCCGGGGCUACACACACGCUACAAUGGCCAGUACGAUGGGUAGCAAAGCCGCAAGGUGGAGCCAAUCCCCAAAGCUGGUCUCAGUUCAGAUUGCAGGCUGCAACUCGCCUGCAUGAAGUCGGAGUUGCUAGUAACCGCGCGUCAGCAUUAGUGCGGUGAAUACGCUCCCGGGCCUUGUACACACCGCCCGUCACGUCAUGGGAGCUGGCAACACCUGAAGCCGGUAUCCUAACCGCAAGGAGGGAGCCGUCGAAGGUGGGGCUGGUGACUGGGACGAAGCCGUAACAAGGUA